rnacentral:tRNA from 1 species
AAUGAAUUGGCAGAUUAUAUGUAUUAAGUUUAGGAUUUAAUAAAGUGAUGUAUUUCACAUUCAUUA